AAGUCGUAACAAGGUCUCCGUUGGUGAACCAGCGGAGGGAUCAUUACAGAGUUGCAAAACUCCCAACCAUUGUGAACGUUACCCGUACCGUUUAAUUAUACAAAUAAGUUAAAACUUUCAACAACGGAUCUCUUGGUUCUG
rnacentral:misc_RNA from 1 species